rnacentral:rRNA from 1 species
UUGGAGGGCAAGUCUGGUGCCAGCAGCCGCGGUAAUUCCAGCUCCAAUAGCGUAUAUUAAAGUUGUUGCAGUUAAAAAGCUCGUAGUUGAAUUUCGGGAUUGACACAUCGGUCGUGCCUUAAGGGGUAUGAACUGGUGUAGUCAAUUUCUCACCUUCUGGAGAACCGCGAUGCCCUUAAUUGGGUGUCGCGGGGAACCAGGACCUUUACUUUGAAAAAAUUAGAGUGUUUAAAGCAGGCAUUUUGCUUGAAUACAUUAGCAUGGAAUAAUAAAAUAGGACGGCAUGAUUCUAUUUUGUUGGUUUCUAGGAUCACCGUAAUGAUUAAUAGGGAUAGUUGGGGGCAUUAGUAUUCAAUUGUCAGAGGUGAAAUUCUUGGAUUUAUUGAAGACUAACUACUGCGAAAGCAUUUGCCAAGGAUGUUUUCAUUAAUCAAGAACGAAAGUUAGGGGAUCGAAGACGAUCAGAUACCGUCGUAGUCUUAACCAUAAACUAUGCCGACUAGGGAACCAGACGAUGUUAAUUUUUAAUG